rnacentral:rRNA from 1 species
UACAGGGGGGGCAAGCGUUGUUCGGAAUUACUGGGCGUAAAGGGCUCGUAGGCGGCCAACUAAGUCCGACGUGAAAUCCCAAGGCUUAACUUUGGAACUGCGUCGGAUACUGGAUGGCUUGAAUUCGGGAGAGGGAUGCAGAAUUCCAGGUGUAGCGGUGAAAUGCGUAGAUAUCUGGAGGAAUACCGGUGGCAAAGGCGGCAUCCUGGACCGACAUUGACGCUGAGGAGCGAAAGCUAGGGGAGCAAACGGG